UGGGGAAUUUUGGACAAUGGGCGAAAGCCUGAUCCAGCAAUGCCGCGUGUGUGAAGAAGGCCUUCGGGUUGUAAAGCACUUUUGUCCGGAAAGAAAUCCUUGGCUCUAAUACAGUCGGGGGAUGACGGUACCGGAAGAACAAGCACCGGCUAACUACGUGCCAGCAGCCGCGGUAAUACGUAGGGUGCAAGCGUUAAUCGGAAUUACUGGGCGUAAAGCGUGCGCAGGCGGUUUGCUAAGACCGAUGUGAAAUCCCCGGGCUCAACCUGGGAACUGCAUUGGUGACUGGCAGGCUAGAGUAUGGCAGAGGGGGGUAGAAUUCCACGUGUAGCAGUGAAAUGCGUAGAGAUGUGGAGGAAUACCGAUGGCGAAGGCAGCCCCCUGGGCCAAUACUGACGCUCAUGCACGAAAGCGUGGGGAGCAAACAGGAUUAGAUACCCUGGUAGUCCACGCCCUAAACGAUGUCAACUAGUUGUUGGGGACUUCAUUUCCUUAGUAACGUAGCUAACGCGUGAAGUUGACCGCCUGGGGAGUACGGUCGCAAGAUUAAAACUCAAAGGAAUUGACGGGGUCAUAGCUGUUUCCU
rnacentral:rRNA from 1 species